CGGAGCAGCAGGCGGAAUUAAAGGGCACGCUUGGGCUGCGUUUAGGGGAACUCGGUGUUCUCAAAACGCCGUUGAAUUCCAGCCUCUGUGAGCUUGGUGGGAAUGAAUCAUAUCAUUUCUGCUCCUGUCAGAUCCAGCUGUAGUCCAUUGGAAGCAGAUGAAGAGCCAUUUGGGCGUGUCGAUGUGAAUAUACUGCAGGCCUGUCAUGCCUCUGCAGGAGAGAAUGGGGUCCAGAAACUCUUGAAACUGGUGAGAUUUACCCUCUACUCUACAGCAAUGGCCCCUUUUGUACCUUCAAAACGAAGACGCAUCGCCUUACCUGUGACUCCUGAUGAUGUACCUGACAUUCAUAAGACAAACUAUAAUAAUGAUAAAAAAUAAGAAUAACCUAUCUACACACAGAUUACAUAAAGAUAACUUGAGUAGUAAAAAGUAAAAAUAAAAAACACAACCUUUAAAACACAAAAUAAUAAACUACUGAUUAUAACUACACAGUGAGAACAAAAGGACAGUCCAAGCAUCUCUUUCAAAAUGUUAUUGAAAAGAAUAUGUUAGAAAAAAAAAAUAAGUGACUGUACAAGACAGAGACAUCUAUAACUCCUCUGAAGGAGCUUCAAGCUUCAGUAGCUGAGAAUGUAUGCAUUAUGUGUAAAACACAAAGUAAUUAAAUAAAAUGCCUACAAAAACUGUU